rnacentral:rRNA from 1 species
AAUAUUGGGCAAUGGGCGAAAGCCUGACCCAGCAAUGCCGCGUGGAUGAUGAAGGCCUNCGGGUUNUNAACUUCAGUUAUAUGGGNCAAAACAAAAGAUGGUACCCUAUGACAAAGCCACGGACAACUACGUGUCGGCAGCCGCGGUAAUACGUAGGUGGCGAGCGUUGUUCGGAAUGACUGGGCGUAAAGUGUGCGUAGGUGGUCUUUUAAGUGAAAUGUGAAAGCUCGGGUCUUAACCCCGGAAUUGCGUUUAAAACUGAAAGGCUAGAGUGCAGGAGGGGUAAGCGUAAUUCCUAGUGUAGCGGUGGAAUGCGUAGAUAUUAGUAGGAACACCAGAAGCGAAGGCGGCUUACUGGACUGUUACUAACACUGAGGCUCUAAAGCGUGGGGAGCAAACAGG